GGGGGGAUGGGCUGGACGGAGGGGGAGUCUGGACAUUCAGGGGGGAGGGGGGGGGGGGGGUGUUCCAUUGUCUGAUGAUGAGUGAAUGCGAGCUAAAACGUUUUGUUUUGGUGUUUGGUGGCGUGGUGUGAGUCUGGACUGUGGAGGGCCGGGGGGGGCGGGGGCAGGGGAGAGAGGGGCGCCCCCUGCCUGCCCGGCGGUGGGACCGCAGCCCCCCGUGUCACCACGGGGGCUGGGUCUGUUUUAGUGCAGCUAUUAAAUGUGCAAUGUAAUAACGUAGCCUGUUUCAAAAAAGUACACGCUUUGAAAAGCUCCUUCUAUCGUCUGUCGUGUGGCUCUGUCUCCGGGGAGGUAAAGAAGAGAAAAACUAAAGAAAAAUAAAAAACUGUUCACAAACACAAACGGCCUUCCGGUCGGCAAGGGGCGGGACCAAGGUCCGCGGGGGCGGGGCCAGCGGUCGGCACACGGCCCGCCCAGAGCAGCUACUUGUAUAACUCGAUAUCGUAUCAUAACCUGAGGAGCCUCCAUCUGCGGAUGGUCUCUGGACCGGGUUUUUCGUUUGGGAAAGCCACUAUCGCUAUAGCAACUUGUUGUUGUUGUUUAUCAUUUCUUCAUUCUUUUACGACACUCAUCUGUUCUCUGUGAACGCACUGUUGACCCAACUGAUGCCUUACGUACGUGGCCUUGUCCUGCUACACGCACACACACACACGAGCACACACACACACGCAUGCACACACACGCGCGCGCACACACACAUGAACACUUACAUGCACACACACGCAAAGAUGCACACAUACGCACAUGCACACUUGCAUGCACACAAAACACACACUAUCACACGCAUGCACACACACAUACGCGCACACAUGCACUUGCCCACACACAUUCACACGUACACUUGCGCACACACAUGUGCACAUGCGCAAACAUGCAAACAGACAUGACCACGCACGUUUGCGCGCACACACAUGCUCACACGCACACACACGCACACAAACACACACUUGUAGACGCACACACACAGGUGGGGGGCUGUAUUGAAUAGCUUUAUUCAGGUUCAACGCUGCACCUCUGACCUGACGUCUAGGAGCAGUCUCUAGGAUCAGUAGUACCAAUAAUAACCAUAGAACCAUUAUUAAACACCCCAAUAAAUCAAUGUAUAUCAGCUUCACCAUGACUGCCAUUCUUAAAUUCUCCUGCAUAGUUUGUCAGCGUUAUCUCAUAACAUAAAUGACAUCAGUCAAAUCGAAUCCAAUCGAAAUGCUCCUUAAAAAUUAAAUAAAAAAACACCACGAUCUGAUGAGACCGAAUCCCAGAGCGCUCGGAACACGAGCUGAACUUAAGUCGCGGCGUCGGACUGCCACGUAGCGGCCGCGGUAUGACGACUUCCUGUGAAGAGGUACGACGGUGAGGAGAACGUUCUCAUGACGCGCAGUACGGCUACUGCUAGAGUUCCGGGUUGUUAGCUGAACUGUACUUCCUGUUUGGAGAUUGGGGGGGGGGGGGGGGGGGGGGGGAUCUCAGAACCCAGGGCGCAGGGGGGGUCGGACCCAUGGAGGAGGGUGCUGGUUUGAAUCCCAGGGCAGAGCAGAGAGGGCGGCGUGUUGGAACAGCGGAGAACCGGAGGAACCGGCUCCUGCAAAGACAUCGCCUUGGGAACCAGUUUGGUUACUGCACCCGUUGGGGGACCAGGUGGGACUAGACCAGGUGGGGUCUAUACCACCUGGGUCUAGACCAGGUGGGGUCUCACCAGGUGGGGUCUGACCAGGUGGUCUAGACCAGGCGGUCCGGGAGGCUCUAGGUUCCUGGCUCUGGGUUCCUGGCUCUGGGUUCCUGGCUCUAGGUUCCUGGCUCUAGGUUCCUGGCUCUAGGUUCCUGGCUCUGGGUUCCUGGCUCUGGGUUCCUGGCUCUAGGUUCCUGGCUCUGGGUUCCUGGCUCUAGGUUCCUGGCUCUGGGUUCCUGGCUCUGGGUUCCUGGCUCUGGGUUCCUGGCUCUGGGUGGUUGUGUGUACACUGAGCACAAGGGGAAAGGUGGAACCACACACACUCUUCAGUCUGUCAGUGUGUGUGUGAGGACGCGUGACACCUGUCUGUGUGUACUGCGUGUAGUACUAUGUGUGUGGUACUUUAUGUAGAACUUCAUGUAGUACUGAGUACAUAACUGCAUGGAAUACUACAUGUAGUAUUACACUUUGUAUUACAUGUAGUAUUACAUGUAGUACUGUGUAUAUAUUAAUGCGUGUAGUAAUACAUGUUGCAUUGUGAAUAUAUUACUGCAUGUAGUACCACAUCUCGUUUUGUGUAUAUUACUGCAUGGAGUACUAAAUGUAGUACUCCAUGUAGUACUAGUAUUACAUGUAGUACUGUGUACAUAACUGCGUGUGGUACUACAUGUACUACUCAGAGUACUACAUGUGUUAGUGUGUAUUUUACAACGUAGUCCACCUGAGCUGUGUUCUGAGCAACACUGCUCCUUGGUGAGAUAGAGGACCUCAGAAGCUUGUUUCCCCUUCUACACUGAGAGGUUUUCACAAGGCAGAGACGUGUACAUUGUAAACUAAGAGAAUUUUGUACAGGAAGAUUCUAUUUUAAAGGGGUUUGGGACCAAAAAAUGAAAAAACAAAUAAAAAAGAAAGUGGUGUGUUUUUCUAAAGAGGGGGAUGGCGGGAGUUUAGUGAAAUGUAAAUUAGAUGCACUCCAUUCUCAUCUUCAUCUGUUUUUGGAAUAACUUGGGAUUUGUUGUUUUAGUCAGAUGACAAAAUGGUGGACAGAGCUCAAACAAAAAUAAUCCAAGAGAGUGGCCCAUAAAGAACUGCAAGAUAAAACCGAUUUAAGAACCACAGCCACCACUCUGAAACUUGAAUCAGACGUUUAUGGUGGUAUCGUAUCUUGGUGGCCAAAAUGUUUUCAGUUGAAUUAUUCACCAUAAAACAACUUUCUUUGUACUCCAAGGCAACAUCUUUGGCUACAAAAACUUUCUUCGAUAUGAACAUGAAAUGAUAAAUAUGAGGUUAUAUUUUUAUUUGUUUUAUGGCUUAACAAAAGUUUUUCAUUUGAAAUUGUUUUGUAAAAUAGUUUCUGUAUGAAUGUAUUUUUUAUUGGAAAAUAGAUUAAAAAAAGAACUUAUUGGAAAA